UCUCCGUAGGUGAACCUGCGGAGGGAUCAUUACACAAAUAUGAAGGCGGGCUGGAACCUCUCGGGGUUACAGCCUUGCUGAAUUAUUCACCCUUGUCUUUUGCGUACUUCUUGUUUCCUUGGUGGGUUCGCCCACCACUAGGACAAACAUAAACCUUUUGUAAUUGCAAUCAGCGUCAGUAACAAAUUAAUAAUUACAACUUUCAACAACGGAUCUCUUGGUUCUGGCAUCGAUGAAGAACGCAGCGAAAUGCGAUAAGUAGUGUGAAUUGCAGAAUUCAGUGAAUCAUCGAAUCUUUGAACGCACAUUGCGCCCUUUGGUAUUCCAAAGGGCAUGCCUGUUCGAGCGUCAUUUGUACCCUCAAGCUUUGCUUGGUGUUGGGCGUCUUGUCUCUAGCUUUGCUGGAGACUCGCCUUAAAGUAAUUGGCAGCCGGCCUACUGGUUUCGGAGCGCAGCACAAGUCGCACUCUCUAUCAGCAAAGGUCUAGCAUCCAUUAAGCCUUUUUUUCAACUUUUGACCUCGGAUCAGGUAGG
rnacentral:rRNA from 1 species